rnacentral:lncRNA from 1 species
UAAGUUAUUGUGAAUUUUUGUAAUCUACGAUAAAGGUUUUACUUCCAAACAUACGUUUGAGAAUAUAUCUUAGUUGCUCAGGGGUGAAGCACUUCCCCUUAAUCCACCUUUGGUUUUUCAAAUCUAUUCUUAUUUUACAAGAAGGGAUCAAAAGGACACUUGGAUGUGAUAUUUGCAUGGUCAUAUAUUAAUCUAUUCUGUUUAUAAUCAUAGUUAGUAAGUAUAUUUCUAGGGGAUUGGGGAGACGAUUCGACUAUAGUUUAAUAGUCCCAGAAUAUUUGCUGUAAUUUCUGUUCAGUUCUGAUAUAUGUCUAAAAUUAAAUUACCGAAUCUUCAUGAAUGUGAAAUGGACUGAAAGGCAAACAAUGUUUCAUGUGACCUCGAACAUCAGAUUUUCAGGACUUAUAUUAUUUAUUUUUAUUUUGUUAUUUUUGCCUACAGAAAAAAUCG